rnacentral:rRNA from 1 species
GAUCCUGGCUCAGGACGAACGCUGGCGGCGUGCCUAACACAUGCAAGUCGAGCGGGAAGCUUUGGAUGGAGACUUCGGUUGAAAUUUGGAGUGGAGAGCGGCGGACGGGUGAGUAACGCGUGAGUAACCUGCCCAUAAGAGGGGGAUAACACUCGGAAACGGGUGCUAAUACCGCAUAACAUAUUGAAAUCGCCUGGUUUUGAUAUCAAAGAUUUAUCGCUUAUGGAUGGACUCGCGUCCAAUUAG